rnacentral:rRNA from 1 species
GACGAACGCUGGCGGCGUGCUUAACACAUGCAAGUCGAGCGGUAAGGCCCUUUCGGAGGUACACGAGCGGCGAACGGGUGAGUAACACGUGGGUGACCUGCCCUCAGCUCUGGGAUAAGCCUGGGAAACCGGGUCUAAUACUGGAUAUGACUCCAUGACGCAUGUUGUGGGGUGGAAAGCCUUGUGCGGCUGAGGAUGGGCCCGCGGCCUAUCAGCUUGUUGGGGGGUGAUGGCCUACCAAGGCGACGACGGGUAGCCGGCCUGAGAGGGCGACCGGCCACACUGGGACUGAGACACGGCCCAGACUCCUACGGGAGGCAGCAGUGGGGAAUCUUGCGCAAUGGGCGAAAGCCUGACGCAGCGACGCCGCGUGAGGGAUGACGG